rnacentral:tRNA from 1 species
UCCCUGGUGGCUCAGAUGGUAAAGCGUCUGCCUGCAAUGCAGGAGACCCAGGUUUGAUCCCUGGGUUGGGAA